GAUGAACGCUGGCGGCGUGCCUAAUACAUGCAAGUCGAGCGAACAGACGAGGAGCUUGCUCCUCUGACGUUAGCGGCGGACGGGUGAGUAACACGUGGAUAACCUACCUGUAAGACUGGGAUAACUUCGGGAAACCGGAGCUAAUACCGGAUAAUAUAUUGAACCGCAUGGUUCAAUAGUGAAGGACGGUUUUGCUGUCACUUAUAGAUGGAUCCGCGCCGCAUUAGCUAGUUGGUAAGGUAACGGCUUACCAAGGCAACGAUGCGUAGCCGACCUGAGAGGGUGAUCGGCCACACUGGAACUGAGACACGGUCCAGACUCCUACGGGAGGCAGCAGUAGGGAAUCUUCCGCAAUGGGCGAAAGCUUGACGGAGCAACGCCGCGUGAGUGAUGAAGGUCUUCGGAUCGUAAAACUCUGUUAUUAGGGAAGAACAAAUGUGUAAGUAACUAUGCACGUCUUGACGGUACCUAAUCAGAAAGCCACGGCUAACUACGU
rnacentral:rRNA from 1 species